GGGCCCGCACAAGCGGUGGAGCAUGUGGUUCAAUUCGACGCAACGCGAAGAACCUUACCCAGGCUUGAACAGCGAGUGACCAUUCCCGAAAGGGAACUUCCGCAAGGACACUCGUAGAGGUGCUGCAUGGCUGUCGUCAGCUCGUGUCGUGAGAUGUUGGGUUAAGUCCCGCAACGAGCGCAACCCUUGUCUGCUGUUGCCAUCAGGUUAUGCUGGGCACUCUGCAGAGACCGCCGGUGAUAAACCGGAGGAAGGUGGGGAUGACGUCAAGUCAGCAUGGCCUUUAUGUCUGGGGCUACACACGUGCUACAAUGGCCGGUACAAACCGUCGCGAUACCGUAAGGUGGAGCUAAUCGGAGAAAGCCGGUCUCAGUUCGGAUAGCAGGCUGCAACUCGCCUGCUUGAAGUUGGAAUCGCUAGUAAUCGCGGAUCAGCACGCCGCGGUGAAUACGUUCCCGGGCCUU
rnacentral:rRNA from 1 species